ensembl:lncRNA
UUAUGUUAUAAUUAAUAGAAGAUAGCUGGAUUAAUAUCUGCCUCUGCAUUUAAUCUGUUGUGAUAUACCAUUUUGGUUGAAGUAUAUGAAGAAACUCUGACCUCAAACAAGUAUGUGGUAGGACAAAGGAGGAGUUUUUAAGAGCUUUUUCAGAUAAUUGUGAAUAUUCUUUGAUACUGCAUCAAAAUGUGAGAAGUGGUAAGUUUCUUAGAUGUUAGUUGCAAUGUGGAAUAUGAAAUAAUAUCAACGAGCUUUCCCUGUUCUAUUACAUUAAAAUCUAUUGGUCUAUCUUGCAUUUUGAAUGGACUUUUACCUAUGCAUAGUUUUAUAACAACGUGCAUUCAUUGGUUAUUUGGAAAAUAUUUGUUCACAGAGUUUUGCAUAUCUUCUAAAAGUUGACACAUUCAUUAUAUAGUUUCAAGAAAUCACAUUUAAAAAAAUUACUACUAAUUUUAUCAGGGAAGUCUGGAAGUGCUAGUAAAUUGUCAAGCUCACAGUCAUGGAUAGUUUUUCUUACUUUCAUCCCUAGGUUGCUUAGAGAUUUUCACUUGAAUAAGGGCUUUCUUGGCCCCCGGUCACUAAUACUGGUUCUCUGCAAUGCACAAGGGUGUGGAGAAAGCUGAACUUUGUGCCAUAUGGAUCCUUUAAAAGAGACAGAUGCGUGAAGUUUGGAGCAGUGAAUGUAAGAGCAAUAUUUGUUUUUCAUUUAAUGAUUUCUAUUUUUUAUUGUAGAGACAGUAGAGCUUGAUAUAGUUUUGGCAAAAUGAAUUUAAGGAAAAGAUUAUAUAUUUGAUAUAUCAUUUCCUAUUUCUGUAAUUAAACUAGGGAGAUUUACCUCAGGGGUUUCCAAUUAUAAAAAGUGGGAAAAUUAUCUUUGAUUUCCUGUGGGGAAGCAAUACAUUGGAAAUUAUUUGGUUGACACAAUUACGAUAUUGUUGGUCAGAGGCCAGAAAAAUUAUCGAUUUUUCUUCCAGGUUUCUUUCUCAGGAAUAAAAUAGUUUUCAAAUACUUAAGAUUUUACAUUCAAAUCAUUCACAGGAAGGUUUACUAUUUGAGCUGAUAAAAGGAGGUUACGAUUUGAAUUACACUGAACUGCCAGAAAACUGUGUCUUCUAGCCUUCUACAAAGUGAAGAUGUGACCUAACAUACUUUACAUGUAAUCUGAUAAAAUGUACCAUCUAUUUUAUAUUCUGUUUCAAAUCUAACAUGAACAUUUCUGCAUUUGUUGUGAAACCAACAUUUAACAUAAAGAGGUCAUAAGGUUUGUUGUUCUAGAUAAGGACAUAUAGUGUGUAAUCCUUUCCAGGGGCACAUUGUAUUAUUAUAUUCCAUAUUAAAAUAGGAGUCACGGUAUUGAUCCACAGGCAUCUUCAUUAAAAAUGGAAAUCUCCCUACACCUGGAAUGUGUUUAAUGAAUAUAGCAUAUUUCAUCUAUAUAAACUAUUAAGUGAGAUUGUUCUGGUACUCAUAUAUUGAUUCAUACUACAAAUAUUUUUGAGCAUUCAAACCAGAAAUGGACCUUGUAAGGAAACCAAAGAUGCACAGCACAGUAAAGACCCCUCUCCACAAAGAGCUUAACAUCUAAUGAAGAACCAAAAUAUACAAACAUUAAAUCUUAGAUCUCAGUCCAGGCAUUGAAUGGCAUUGGAAAAGAGCAGUGCUGUAGGUGUCAGAAGAUUGUCUCUACCAGUAAAUGCUGAGUAAGUGCUGUGAUCUUAAGUAAAGAGAGAUCCCUGUGUUUUGGAAGCUGUGUUUUAUAAUGGUUAAGAACACAGGUUUUAGAAUCAGCCAGAUCUGGAUUCCAGUCCCAGCUCAUCCUCGGUAGCUGUGUGAUCUUGGGCAAGUCCCUUAACUUCUCUAGGCCCCUGUUUCUUUCUUCUGUAAACGUGUAGAUAAUAAAAUCACCUAGCCUAUGGGUUUGUUGUGAUGAAUAGAUGAGAUCAAAAAUGCAUGGAAAAGCUCUUAGCAUAAUCUAUCUAGCACUCAUAUGUUCUCACUAAAUAUCUCCAAUUGUUAGUAUUUGUUAUUAUAAUCAGAAGAUUUCCCAAAGAAAACAAGAACUAAGGUGGACCUGCCUCAUGUUUGAGCUGAGGGCAAGCCCUAUCUCGUUAGUUGCUGAUACUCAGGAUAAGAGAAGACCAGUGAUGCCUCAGUUGGAGACCUACUCAAUAACUUUGAGU